rnacentral:rRNA from 2 species
GGUAGCGAAAUUCCUUGUCGGUUAAAUACCGACCUGCAUGAAUGGCGUAACGAGAUGGGAGCUGUCUCAAAGAGGGAUCCAGUGAAAUUGUAGUGGAGGUGAAAAUUCCUCCUACCCGCGGCAAGACGGAGAGACCCCGUGGACCUUUACUACAGCUUGACACUGCUAUUUGGAUAAGAAUGUGCAGGAUAGGUGGGAGGCUUUGAGUAUAUGACGCCAGUUGUAUAUGAGCCAUUGUUGAGAUACCACUCUUUCUUAUUUGGGUAGCUAACCAGCUUGAGUUAUCCUCAAGUGGGACAAUGUCUGGUGGGUAGUUUGACUGGGGCGGUCGCCUCCCAAAUAAUAACGGAGGCUUACAAAGGUUGGCUCAGAACGGUUGGAAAUCGUUCGUAGAGUAUAAAGGUAUAAGCCAGCUUAACUGCAAGACAUACAAGUCAAGCAGAGACGAAAGUCGGUCUUAGUGAUCCGGUGGUUCUGUGUGGAAGGGCCAUCGCUCAAAGGAUAAAAGGU